rnacentral:piRNA from 1 species
AUGGUGGCACCUAUGGGAGU